rnacentral:rRNA from 1 species
AGGUAAUUCCUGCCCAGUGACUUUAUAAGUUUAACGGCCGCGGUAUCCUAACCGUGCAAAGGUAGCAUAAUCACUUGCCCAUUAAUUGUGGGCUAGAAUGAAAGGACCGACGAAAUAAAUACUGUCUCUACAAGUAAAAUAAAAAUUAACCUCCAAUUGAAGAAUAUUGGAUAAUAUCGUAGGACAAGAAGACCCUAUAGAGCUUCAUUUAAUAAAAGACUAAAAACUUUUUUAUAAUUUGGUUGGGGCGACCAGGGAUAUAUUAAAAUCAUCCCUAACAAACAGAUAUAUCAAUCUCUUUUAUGACCCUUAAUAAAGAUCACAAGACCGAGCUACCUUAGGGAUAACAGGCUAAUCCUAUUAAAGAGUUCUUAUCAAUAAUAAGGUUUGGCACCUCGAUGUUGGCUUAGGGAAUCAAUGUGGCGCAAAAGUCACAUAAAGAUGGUUUGUUCAACCAAUAACCCCCUACGUGAUCUG